AAUUUUUGAAUCUGUAUUUCUGUUGGACUGUAUUUGGUAUCAGAUAUAUCUUUCAUUUGGUUACUUCAGCUCCAACUACAACUACUCGUCAGACUACAACUACUCCUCUGACUACUACUACUCCUCUGACUACAACAACUCAUCUACCUACAACUACUCAGUUGGCUACAACUGCUCUUGCUGCUACAACUGCUCUUCCUGCUAUAACUACUCAUCUGGCUACAGCAACUUGUCCAACUACAAUAGCCACAACAGCUCUCCAAAUGACCACUUCAGCCAUGUCUAACCUAACAACUAUAAUGACACACCAAUCGACUACAGUCACUCUCGAAUCAACAACAGCAGUUCUUCCUCGGAAAUCAACUUCUAAUCAAGCGAUAACCCCGGCUCUGACCACUUUCCCAUUGACAGAAGUUGCUCCUGUGACUACAGGUCAAACAAUGCUGGAGAAGAUAGCAAUGCUCUUAGCACCCUGCCUAGUACGAUAGAAGAAGAUGAAGAAGGCUUUUUUAACCUCUGAGAACUUUCAUUUGGAGAAGUAUGUAUGUGUGUGUGUGUGUGUGUGUGUGUGAGAGAGAGAGAGAGAGAGAGAGAGAGAGAGAGAGAGACAGAGAGAGAGAGAGAGAGAGACAGAGAGAGAGAUAUGGGAGAUCUGACAAUAAAUUGAUUUAAGUAUGCUUUUAAAAAAAAUAC
rnacentral:lncRNA from 1 species